rnacentral:rRNA from 1 species
AUUGAACGCUGGCGGCGGGCCUAACACAUGCAAGUCGAGCGGAGCGGCGGACGGGCGAGUAAUGACCAGGAAUCUGCCUGGUAGUGGGGGCUAACGUACGGACACGGGCCCUAAUAUCGAAUACAACCAGAUGAGACUAGGCCGGAUUAGCUAGUUGGUUGGGUAAAGGCCUACCAAGGCGACGAUCCGUAACUGGUCUGAGAGGAUGAUCAGUCACACUGGAACUGAGACACGGUCCAGACUCCUACGGUAGGCAGCAGUGGGGAAUAUUGGACAAUGGGCGAAAGCCUGAUCCAGCCAUGCCGCGUGUGUGAAGAAGGUCUUCGGAUUGUAAAGCACUUUAAGUUGGGAGGCGUUACCAACAGAAUAAGCACCGGCUAACUUCGUGCCAGCAGCCGCGGUAAUUC